CUAUACAUGCAUGUCGAGCGAUGCUAGCAUAUAGCAUAGUCGGCGACAUGGUGUGAGUAACACGUACUCAACGUACCUUUUAGUUUGGCAUAGCGAAUGGAAACGUUCGAUAAUUCCAAAUACUUAUUUUUAUCGCAUGAUACUAAUAUAAAAGAAGCUUCAAAGCUUCGCUAAAAGAUCGGGGUGCGUAACAUUAGCUUGUUGGUGAGGUAACGGCUCACCAAGGCGAUGAUGUUUAGCGGGGUUGAGAGACUGAACCGCCACACUGGGACUGAGAUACGGCCCAGACUCCUACGGGAGGCAGCAGUAGGGAAUAUUCCACAAUGAGCGAAAGCUUGAUGGAGCGACACAGCGUGCAGGAUGAAGGCCCCAUGGGUUGUAAACUGCUGUGGUAAGGGAAGAAAAAGUAGUGUAGGAAAUGACAUUACCUUGACGGUACCUUAUUAGAAAGCAACGGCUAACUAUGUGCCAGCAGCCGCGGUAAUACAUAGGUUGCAAGCGUUAUCCGAAAUUAUUGGGCGUAAAGCGUCUGUAGGUUGUUUGUUAAGUCUGGCGUUAAAUUUUGGGGCUCAACCCCAAACCGCGUUGGAUACUGGCAAGCUAGAGUUAUGUAGAGGUUAGCGGAAUUCCUUGUGAAGCGGUGAAAUGCGUAGAUAUAAGGAAGAACACCAUUAUGGCGAAGGCGGCUAACUGGACAUACACUGACACUGAGAGACGAAAGCGUGGGGAGCAAACAGGAUUAGAUACCCUGGUAGUCCACGCCCUAAACGAUGAUGAUUAGCUGAUGGAUAGUUCAUUGGCGCAGCUAACGCAUUAAAUCAUCCGCCUGAGUAGUACGUUCGCAAGAAUAAAACUUAAAGGAAUUGACGGGGAUCCGCACAAGCGGUGGAGCAUGUGGUUUAAUUUGAAGAUACGCGUAGAACCUUACCCACUCUUGACAUCUUCCGCAAAGCUAUGGAGACAUAGUAGAGGUUAACGGAAUGACAGAUGGUGCAUGGUUGUCGUCAGCUCGUGUCGUGAGAUGUUCGGUUAAGUCCUGCAACGAGCGCAACCCUUAUCCUUAGUUACUACCAUUUAGUUGAGAACUCUAAGGAGACUGCCGGAGUAAUCCGGAGGAAGGUGGGGACGACGUCAAAUCAUCAUGCCUCUUACGAGUGGGGCUACACACGUGCUACAAUGGACGGUACAAAGAGAAGCAAAGUGGUGACAUGGAGCAAAUCUCAAAAAACCGUUCUCAGUUCGGAUUGAAGUCUGCAACUCGACUUCAUGAAGUUGGAAUCGCUAGUAAUCGUAGAUCAGCUACGCUACGGUGAAUACGUUCUCGGGUCUUGUACACACCGCCCGUCAAACCAUGGGAGCUGGUAAUGCCCGAAGUCGGUUUAUUUAAGCAAACCGCCUAAGGC
rnacentral:rRNA from 1 species